GACGAACGCUGGCGGCGUGCCUAAUACAUGCAAGUAGAACGCUGAAGGAGGAGCUUGCUUCUCUGGAUGAGUUGCGAACGGGUGAGUAACGCGUAGGUAACCUGCCUGGUAGCGGGGGAUAACUAUUGGAAACGAUAGCUAAUACCGCAUAAGAGUAGAUGUUGCAUGACAUUUGCUUAAAAGGUGCAAUUGCAUCACUACCAGAUGGACCUGCGUUGUAUUAGCUAGUUGGUGAGGUAACGGCUCACCAAGGCAACGAUACAUAGCCGACCUGAGAGGGUGAUCGUCCACACUGGGACUGAGACCACGGGCCCCAGACUCCUACGGGAGGCAAGCAGUAGGGAAUCUUUCGGCAAAGGACGGAAGUCUGGACCGAGC
rnacentral:rRNA from 1 species